rnacentral:rRNA from 1 species
UUSAAGACGACGACGUUGAUAGGCCGGGUGUGUAAGCGCAGCGAUGCGUUGAGCUAACCGGUACUAAUGAACCGUGAGGCUUAACCUUACAACGCCGAAG